rnacentral:rRNA from 1 species
UACAGAGGUCUCAAGCGUUGUCCGGAAUUAUUGGGCGUAAAGAGCUCGUAGGCGGUUUGUCGCGUCGGAUGUGAAAUCCCAGGGCUUAACCCUGGGCCUGCAUUCGAUACGGGCAGACUAGAGUUCGGUAGGGGAGACGUGGAAUUCCUGGUGUAGCGGUGAAAUGCGCAGAUAUCGGGAGGAACACCAAUGGCGAAGGCAGCUCGCUGGGACGGUACUGACGCUGAGGCGCGAAAGCGUGGGGAGCGAACAGG